UGAGUGUGGACGGCAAUCAUCUCAUGGGCUGGGAACUUGGACAAAAUGAAAGGAGUAAAAGGAGACAGUGAGAUAAACACCAGGCUCCGCCCCUCUCUGCUUCUGUCCACUCUGAAGUGAGGGCAGCCUCCACCACAGGCUCCCACUGCCAUGAGGCUCUGCCCAACCACAUGGGGACGAGGGACCUGAAGCCGGCCCUCACACCAUGAGUCAAAACAACCAAUCCUCCCCCUGGUUAUUCUGGUCAUCACAAUGCAAAAGUAAUGAAGUAGAAUCGCAGCUCUCAACCUGUACCUCCUCUGCUUUCCAUACUGGGUGACGCCUCUAGAUGCAGAGCAACCGUUUAGAUGCUUGUCUGAGGAAAUAUUUCCUGUUUCAGACUGUGGUGGCAGCGCUGCCGGCUUUGCUGUGCCUGACCCUGCUUCCGAUGUUCUAUCGUGACCUUGUAUCGCUGCUGUGCCCUCUCAGAUUUCCUCCUUGUGGAUUAGUGACCCCGUUUCCUCCGUCUCCCAGUGGCACUGUGAGGAGACGGUGCACACAACAGAGGCUUCUGAAAGAACCAUGAACUCCGCCAACAAAAACACCCGGUGGUACCUCUUGAGCUAUCUCUCUUUGCCAAAGAGGUUGAUUUUUUUCACAUCCAGGUCUCCAGCCCUGGUGGUUUUGAGGUCACCACAGUGGCAAGCAGCAGGCAUGAGAACAGUUUAAGGAGGUCAGGGGCUGCGCAUGUGGGAGACCUAACUAAUUUAUACCGUGCAAACAGUCCAUGAGUCAUUCGUUAGGUGAAAAUGUAGACUAGUGCAGGCAAAGACAGGGUGGCUUUUGGCAGUUCCGGGUAUAUUUUUUCCAUGUAUUCUCUUCAUCACCCCCUAAACUUUUUAACAUUACCAUAGUUUAAGAAAUAUAAUUAUGCUCUUUUAAAAGACAUUUCACAUACAGAAAAAUAAGACAACACUUCUGUGUUUGUGGGGGUGGGGGGUGGCUUGAGAGACACGUGCACAGAGUGCUAUGGUGUCCUGCAACUUUCGUUCACACAGCGUGCUGACACCUAUAGACUGAACUCAGUUUCUGAGAGACAUUCCUCGCAGAUCUGCUGCCUCUAGUUGGUUACAAUUGGGAUGAAAUUUAGCUGCAUCUGACUGGCACCCCCCUACAUACCCCCAACAACAGCAGUUUGAAUAAGAUAUAAAUUUGUCUCAUUUCAAGAUUGUCCAAUAGAAGGCAGUCUGGGUCUGUGUGGAGUUUGGUGGUGUCAGCCACCCCAGCUGCUUCCAACUCUCUGCAGCUUUGGAUGUACCCCACCUCCUCCCGGAAGAUGGGUGCCAGGGUUCUCGAAGGCUGGGUCUCCAGUGAAAUGACGGCUUGGGGGAUGGGAGAAGGGGUGCUGCCUGCUUCUGAGGGAAACUGUCUGCAUACUUUUCAUUUGUUAGGAUUUAACCAUAUAGGGGGCAGAAAGACGGCUCCGUGGGUAGAGAUGUCUGUGGCCAAGCUUGAUGACCUAAGUGACCACCAUGGAAGGAGAAAACAGACACCUGCAAACUGUCCUCUGACCUCCAUUUGCAUGCAGUGGUACUUGUGCCCAUAUACAUACACACACAUAGACACAUACACACAUACAUACACACAUUCAUACAUACACACACAUACAUGAUAGAUGCAUAGAUAUGUAGAUAGAUGAUAGAUAUAUGGAUAGAUAAAUAAAUGUAUUUUUUAAUUUAAAGAAUUUAAUUACACAGCAACACCUGGCUGAAUGUUAGGACAUAGCCACUUUUGAUGGACAAAAUAUCAACUGGCUGGAUUUUUCCUCCAAAAAGAAAGUAGAUAUUCGGAAGGCAAGUGGCAGUUUUGGCCUCAGUUUCUUGAGAUUCUAAUACUUAGGAGGCUUUGGGGAACCUCUUUUGACACACAGAGAUCAGUCAUGUGUUCUCAGCCAGUGAAACCAGACCCCUGACUAGCCAUGGACUUGUUCAUUAUGUGCCGGUCACUAACACAGUGGCUGGUUCCAUGAGAGCGUGAAGCUGAGAGGAAAGUGGUCUGGGACGUAAAGGUGUAAGGGUCAAGAGCACAGUCAAGAGGUCCGGGCUUCUGCCAACCAAAGAGAAGUUAGGCAGUUCAUGGAGUACUGCUGCUGCUUGUCCUGAGGGUGGACACUUCCUCAGUAAAGGGCAUUUACUGCCUCUCAGUAUGUGAUUUGCAUGGUUUUUAACUUUAAUAAUUUCUCUCAAAGUAGCUAUGUUAAGCCACACUUCCAUCUAAUCUCAACUCUGCAAAUUAAGAAAUUAGAUCUAAAAUAUAAUUUUAAGGUGGAUGUGGUGGUGCAUGUCUGCAAAUGGAUUGUUGAAUCCAGUAGGAGAGGCAAGGAGAGCUUACACUCAGGGCUGUCCUUGGCUACACAGGGAGUUUCAGGCAAGCCUGAGCUACAUAGGAAGACUGUGCUUCAGAACCUCAAAGCCUCCUGACAUCGCUCAGUGGUAGUGCUCUUUCCAAGGGUGUUCAAGGUUCUGGGUUCAAGGUUCCCCAGGACCGCAAAUGCCAGUCAUAUAGAAAACAGUUUAUAUGUAAUUACUGUUUCUAUUAGUAUUCCUCUAUUGCUGAGGGUGAGAACAUUUUCAUAUGUUUUUAAACAUUAGUAAUUUCUUGUCUGGAAUUUUCCUCUUCAUCGACUUUGCCAAAUUUCCUGAAAUGUAUGUUUUCAUGUAAUCUGAGACAAUGCUGUCGAUUGUUUCCAAUUGGAUAAGCAAUUGUCCAAGAGCAGCUGCUGAAUGACCGGCCGUCUCUCCUCACAGUUUUGUCCAAGAGCGACUGCUGGUUGGUCCUCUCUCCUCACUGAAAUUAAUGGCUCCAUCCCUCAUCUCUCUCGUGACUAAAUGCACGAGUGGAAAAAUAGCGCUGAAGUUACAAAAUGGAUGUUAAAUAGAACUGAUCACUUGUCAAGCUGGCCGAUAUCGUUUCAGUGAUAAGCAACAGGCUUGUGGGAAGAGUAUUUAAAAACUUGAGCAAUUACAUCGGAACAGCGAUUCUGGAAGACAAUUUGACUGGAUUUGAUCACAGAGAUGAGGAAAUAACUAACGGACACCAAACUAAUCCAAACCACUUGAGCCAAAUGGUGGAAACUGAAAAGCGUUUUUGAUAUUAAUGACUCCAGGGAACAUGUGCCCUUCAACCUGUACCUGAGAUGUGGAGACUGGAGAAGGAAGCGAGGGAAUGAUGAGUGAGCACAGCGGAAGCGGCUGUAAUUGUUAAGGGGAUUACCAUCGUGAAAGAGAAACCAGCUUGUUCUGCACUGCAGAGUAGUAAAGGUUGCCUGAGGGUGGGACUCUACCCACUAAAGUGUCCAGCUUGUGGAAAUGCAAGUGAGCUGAGAACCCACUGAAGAAGUCCACGCUUGAGAGCAGCUGCCUAGGGAAGUGUUGACCUGGGUUCUGUUGUCAGGGUGCUCAGAGGCCACUCCGGAUGUGGUGGGAGGGAGCCAGGCUACAUCUGAAGCUGGCGGCAGAACCUGACAGCAUCAUCCCCGUGUUGCUGCUUUUGCUGGCAUGCGAAAUUCAAGAGGUACAGGGGUCAUGGAGGCUUGCACCAAGUUCCACAAAGUCACUGAGGCCAGGCAAUGUGUUGGCAGGUUAGAUUCUCUCUAAGGAGGCCACUAGUGAGCAAUCAUUACCUGAAGCUGGAAAGGUGAAGCUUAAGUUGUAGUGGGGGCCCAAGGAUGUUGGAGUUUUCAGACGCAGAGUGGAACCAACACAACAGAAGGUCAUAUGUGCUAUAAGCAGCAUAGAUGGAGGGGCGGGGCUGCCCAAGGCCAUCAGAAUCCAAACGACUCCAUCAUGAGCCUUGGGUGGUGGACCUGGAACUCUUGGGGUUAGUGUUUCUUCUGCUAGAUUUUGCCCUUUGGCCCAGUCUUUCCUUGCCGUAUUCCUGUUCCUUACUCUUGGUAUGGGAAUGCAGAUGUCAAUCUUUAUUUUACAAGGGCUUACAGUUGAGGGAUUGUCUUGAGUGGCAGAAGUGAAUGCUAAAAACUAUCGUGGGCCAGGUAGAUGGUUCAGUGGGUAAAGGUACUUGCCACCAAGCUUGAGGACCUGAGUUGAAUACCCAGAACUCAAAUGGUAGAAGGAGAAAACCAACUCCUGAAAGUUAUCCUCUGACUUCCACAAGUGCUAUGGCAUGUACAUUCAUGGGUACACACACACACACACACACACACACACACACACACACACACACACGAAUGAAUGAAUGAAUGAAUGAAUGAAUGAAUGAAUGGAAUAAACAUUUUGAUUUAAAGACUCUUGGGACCAAGGGUACAAGAUUAUGGCUUAAAGCUAUUCAUUUGGGUGUCAAGGUGACAAGUGGUGGAUUUGGUGAAUGAUCAAUGUGGCCGGAUUUGGAAUCACCUAGGAGACACCUAGGCACAUCUGUGAAAGCACUUCCAGAGGUUUAACUAAGAUUGGAAGACUAACCCCUGAACAUGACAGCACCAUCCUAUGGACUGGGGGCUCAUUAUUUUCUUAAUAAUUUAUUCAUAUUAUUUUAUGUGCAUUGGUGUGAAGGUGUCAGGUACCCCGAAACUGGAGUUACAGGCAGUUGUGAGCUGCCAUACGGGUGCUGGGAAUUGAACCUGGAACCUCUGAAAGAGCAGCCAGUGCUCUUAAUCUUCGUUAUUUUUAACCAGAGCCCCCCAGUUUUGUUUGUGCUCAUCCGAGUGUGGAUUUGCUUGCAUAGCAUGUUAGAUGUCAUACAUCCAGCUCUGCAGCCAAAGUACAGAGCAGCCCCAGCAUCCCAGAAAUCUGUCAUGCUACCUUUUAAUGAGCUUCCCUACCUCUUUCCCAUGCCACUCCUUAGGCUAACAAGCAACAUGCUCUCCAGUUCAACUAUUGCACACAUAGAAUCACAUGCUAGACAAUGUUUUAGAAUGGGCCCUUUUCACUUCACAUAAUUUCAUAUGUUACACAUGUCAACAGUUCAUUCCUGUUUGUGCUAUAGUCACUCUGUGAUUUCUUCAGUCAUGGUACUUGCCAAUUACAAAUAAAGCCGCUAUGUGUGUACAUGUAGGGGUUUUUGUGUGGACAUAACUUUUCAUUUCUGUGGAUAAAUAAAUGCCCAAGAGCUCAA